rnacentral:rRNA from 1 species
UGGGGAAUAUUGCGCAAUGGGGGAAACCCUGACGCAGCGACGCCGCGUGUGGGAUGAAGGUCUUCGGAUUGUAAACCACUGUCGCGAGGGACGAAGCUCUGACGGUACCUCGAAAGGAAGCACCGGCUAACUCUGUGCCAGCAGCCGCGGUAAUACAGAGGGUGCGAGCGUUGUCCGGAAUCACUGGGCGUAAAGGGCGCGUAGGCGGCCCGGUAAGUAGGGGGUGAAAUCUCAUGGCUCAACUGUGAGGCUGCCUUCUAGACUGCCAGGCUUGAGCACAGUAGAGGCGAGUGGAAUUCCCGGUGUAGCGGUGGAAUGCGUAGAGAUCGGGAAGAACAUCGGUGGCGAAGGCGGCUCGCUGGGCUGUUGCUGACGCUGAGGCGCGAAAGCGUGGGGAGCAAACAGGAUUAGAUACCCUUGUAGUCCCUGAGCGGGCUGGCAAGGCGCAU